UACAGAGGCCUCGAGCGUUAGGCGGAAUCACUGGGCUUAAAGCGUGUGUAGGCGGACUUCUAAGUACCUUGUGAAAUCCCACGGCUUACCCGUGGAACGGCUGGGUAUACUGGGAGUCUUGAGCCACCUAGGGGCGAGUGGAACAAAUGGUGGAGCGGUGAAAUGCGUAGAUAUCAUUUGGAACGCCAAUGGUGAAAACAACUCGCUGGGGGUGUGCUGACGCUGAGACACGAAAGCCUGGGGAGCGAACGGG
rnacentral:rRNA from 1 species